AUGACCGGCGCCAAGCCCCUCGUCCUUGCCCUCUCCUCCCCAUCCUCCGGCUCCACGGAGGCCGCGGACGCGGCCGCAGUCAUCGCCGAGAGGUUCUUGCCGGACCUUUUAUACGCGGCGGAGAAGGCGAGGGAGAGGACGCACGAUGUGCCCAGGGAAGACGAGGAGGCAAAACUGAGUCUCAUGGCAAGGGUGGGCAAGUUGGUCGACAAGCAGGGAAUGGUUUCCAGCAUGUCUUGGAAAUGCACUGUGCAAGAAGAUGGGAAGCUUGCAAUCGACAAGGAAGCCAUUGCUGUUGGACAAUCUUUCGCCACGGUUAGAUGGAUCAUGGAAUGGGUAAGGGCUGAAGUGGAUACAUCCAAUGAGAAGGUCAGGGAAAGGGUGCAAUCAGUUGUCUUUGACAUGUCAAUUAGGAUCAACUUUGUUAGUUCACGUGCUCUGUUGGAAACCAGCCCUAAUGUAUUUCUCGUACACGUACACAUAUGUAGUCACCUGAACGAACAUCCUGCGCGUGUUGUACAUGACCGGUACGGCGGCCCUGAUGGGGAGCGAGAACCGCCAUUGGAACGCGGCGGUGAGCCCCUCGGUGAAGACCUGCGCGGAGAGCAGGAACGUGUGCGGGGCCACGGCGGCGAUCCCCGUGGUGUCCCCGGACCGGAGGCCGUCGAGGAUGUAGAGCGCCGGGAACGCGGCGCCGACGAGGAACCCGCCCACGAUGUGCGCGGCGAGGAGGAGGCGCUCGGGGCCGAGGAAGAUGGGCGCAGACGGGUUGGGCUUCCCGGGGCGCUGCGGGAAAUCUGCAAUUUUGGUUUUGUAGCAGCUGCUGUAGAACAGGAUUUUAUCACAUAUCCAGAGAAGGUUCUUGAAAUGAGGAAAGGCUUUAUUGUGCUCGGCAAGGAUGAUGAUUUUUGUGCAUGA
rnacentral:rRNA from 1 species